CGGCUAACUCCGUGCCAGCAGCCGCGGUAAUACGGAGGGGGUGAGCGUUGUUCGGAAUUACUGGGCGUAAAGCGCAUGUAGGCGGAUCGGAAAGUUGGGGGUGAAAUCCCGGGGCUCAACCCCGGAACUGCCUCCAAAACGAUCGGUCUAGAGUUCGAGAGAGGUGAGUGGAAUUCCGAGUGUAGAGGUGAAAUUCGUAGAUAUUCGGAGGAACACCAGUGGCGAAGGCGGCUCACUGGCUCGAUACUGACGUUGAGGUGCGAAAGUGUGGGGAGCAAACAGGAUUAGAUACCCUGGUAGUCCAC
rnacentral:rRNA from 1 species